AAGGCUGUUGAGCUGUAUCCACCAUUGUGAGGUCUGAGGUGGUUAUCGUGAUGCCUCCUCAGCUGUUGCCAUUGGCUGUGGACUGCCUGUGAUGUCACAAAAGCACAUGGCAGCUGUGCUGAUAUAAAGGCGGUCCACUCCCUCUUCCCAGGCAGAAUGCAGGGCCAACGGCUGUGGUUGUCAGCACUGGGUGGUCUCCUUCCAUGUGGAGGUGAACUGGCCAGUGGAAGGAGGUGGAAAGUUUAACGUAGGUGCUGAAAACAGGCCAAGACGGGCAUUUAAAACAUGACAGUCAACGCGAGCAUUUUGUCAAAGGAAAGAGGCGAGUGA